rnacentral:rRNA from 1 species
GACGAACGCUGGUGGCGUGCUUAACACAUGCAAGUCGAACGGAAAGGCCCUGCUUUUGUGGGGUGCUCGAGUGGCGAACGGGUGAGUAACACGUGAGUAACCUGCCCUUGACUUUGGGAUAACUUCAGGAAACUGGGGCUAAUACCGGAUAGGAGCUCCUGCUGCAUGGUGGGGGUUGGAAAGUUUCGGCGGUUGGGGAUGGACUCGCGGCUUAUCAGCUUGUUGGUGGGGUAGUGGCUUACCAAGGCUUUGACGGGUAGCCGGCCUGAGAGGGUGACCGGCCACAUUGGGACUGAGACACGGCCCAGACUCCUACGGGAGGCAGCAGUGGGGAAUAUUGCACAAUGGGCGGAAGCCUGAUGCAGCAACGCCGCGUGCGGGAUGACGGCCUUCGGGUUGUAAACCGCUUUCGCCUGUGACGAAGCGUGAGUGACGGUAAUGGGUAAAGAAGCACCGGCUAACUACGUGCCAGCAGCCGCGGUGAUACGUAGGGUGCGAGCGUUGUCCGGAUUUAUUGGGCGUAAAGGGCUCGUAGGUGGUUGAUCGCGUCGGAAGUGUAAUCUUGGGGCUUAACCCUGAGCGUGCUUUCGAUACGGGUUGACUUGAGGAAGGUAGGGGAGAAUGGAAUUCCUGGUGGAGCGGUGGAAUGCGCAGAUAUCAGGAGGAACACCAGUGGCGAAGGCGGUUCUCUGGGCCUUUCCUGACGCUGAGGAGCGAAAGCGUGGGGAGCGAACAGGCUUAGAUACCCUGGUAGUCCACGCUGUAAACGGUGGGUACUAGGUGUGGGGUCCAUUCCACGGGUUCCGUGCCGUAGCUAACGCUUUAAGUACCCCGCCUGGGGAGUACGGCCGCAAGGCUAAAACUCAAAGGAAUUGACGGGGCCCCGCACAAGCGGCGGAGCAUGCGGAUUAAUUCGAUGCAACGCGUAGAACCUUACCUGGGUUUGACAUGGAUCGGGAGCGCUCAGAGAUGGGUGUGCCUCUUUUGGGGUCGGUUCACAGGUGGUGCAUGGCUGUCGUCAGCUCGUGUCGUGAGAUGUUGGGUUAAGUCCCGCAACGAGCGCAACCCUUGUUCACUGUUGCCAGCACGUUAUGGUGGGGACUCAGUGGAGACCGCCGGGGUCAACUCGGAGGAAGGUGGGGAUGACGUCAAGUCAUCAUGCCCCUUAUGUCCAGGGCUUCACGCAUGCUACAAUGGCUGGUACAGAGAGUGGCGAGCCUGUGAGGGUGAGCGAAUCUCGGAAAGCCGGUCUCAGUUCGGAUUGGGGUCUGCAACUCGACCUCAUGAAGUCGGAGUCGCUAGUAAUCGCAGAUCAGCAACGCUGCGGUGAAUACGUUCCCGGGGCU